AGUGAACGCUGGCGGUAGGCCUAACACAUGCAAGUCGAACGGCAGCACAGUAAGAGCUUGCUCUUACGGGUGGCGAGUGGCGGACGGGUGAGGAAUACAUCGGAAUCUACUUUUUCGUGGGGGAUAACGUAGGGAAACUUACGCUAAUACCGCAUACGACCUACGGGUGAAAGCAGGGGAUCUUCGGACCUUGCGCGAUUAAAUGAGCCGAUGUCGGAUUAGCUAGUUGGCGGGGUAAAGGCCCACCAAGGCGACGAUCCGUAGCUGGUCUGAGAGGAUGAUCAGCCACACUGGAACUGAGACACGGUCCAGACUCCUACGGGAGGCAGCAGUGGGGAAUAUUGGACAAAGGGCGCAAGCCUAAUCCAGCCAUACCGCGUGGGUGAAGAAGGCCUUCGGGUUGUAAAGCCCUUUUGUUGGGAAAGAAAAGCAGCAGGUUAAUACCCCGCUGUUCUGACGGUACCCAAAGAAUAAGCACCGGCUAACUUCGUG
rnacentral:rRNA from 1 species